ensembl:snRNA U6 U6 spliceosomal RNA
GUGCUCACUUUAGCAGCAUAUAUACUAAAUUUGGAACGAUACAGAGAAGAUUAGCAAGGCCCCUGCACAAGGAUGACAUGCAAAUUUGUGAAGCAUUCUAUAUUUUU